UUAAGAUAUGCUUUCCAGGAUGAUGACUGAAGCUCAUGUUUGUAAACACCUAAAUGUCUAGAAUGGACUUCAAAACAGAUUCUGAAAGUUUAACCAGCAUAAUCUUUAAUAUGGACAAAAAGUAUACAAUUGGAACACACACAAAAACAGAUGGGUCCAUGCCAAGCUAAAGAUUAAUGCAGAAGAUAAAAGAGAACUGGAGAAGAAUGAAUUGAUGUUAACAUACUCAACAUUAAAUUUGGCUUAAAUCUAUAUAUGUCUUUUGUUGUGAUUUCUUCAAGAGCAAUUAGAUUCAGGAAAUUUAAUGUGAGGGAUAACCAG